UAGUAACGGCGAGUGAAGCGGCAACAGCUCAAAUUUGAAAUCUGGCUUCGGCCCGAGUUGUAAUUUUGCAGAGGAAGCUUUAGGUGCGGCCCCAACUGAGUCCCCUGGAACGGGGCGCCACAGAGGGUGAGAGCCCCGUAUAGUUGGACGCCUAGCCUGUGUAAAGCUCCUUCGACGAGUCGAGUAGUUUGGGAAUGCUGCUCAAAAUGGGAGGUAAAUUUCUUCUAAAGCUAAAUACCGGCCAGAGACCGAUAGCGCACAAGUAGAGUGAUCGAAAGAUGAAAAGCACUUUGAAAAGAGGGUUAAAUAGCACGUGAAAUUGUUGAAAGGGAAGCGCUUGUGACCAGACUUGCGCCGGGCUGAUCAUCCGGUGUUCUCACCGGUGCACUCUGCCCGGCUCAGGCCAGCAUCGGUUCUCGCGGGGGGAUAAAGGCUCCGGGAACGUAGCUCCUCCGGGAGUGUUAUAGCCCGGGGCGUAAUGCCCUCGCGGGGACCGAGGACCGCGCUCUGCAAGGAUGCUGGCGUAAUGGUCAUCAGCGACCCGUCUUGAAACACGGACCAAGGAGUCAAGGUUUUGCGCGAGUGUUUGGGUGUAAAACCCGCACGCGUAAUGAAAGUGAACGUAGGUGAGAGCUUCGGCGCAUCAUCGACCGAUCCUGAUGUUCUCGGAUGGAUUUGAGUAGGAGCGUUAAGCCUUGGACCCGAAAGAUGGUGAACUAUGCUUGGAUAGGGUGAAGCCAGAGGAAACUCUGGUGGAAGGCUCGCAGCGGUUCUGACGUGCAAAUCGAUCGUCAAAUCUGAGCAUGGGGCGAAAGACUAAUCGAACCA
rnacentral:rRNA from 1 species